rnacentral:rRNA from 2 species
UAGCGAAGAGGUCACACCCGUUCCCAUACCGAACACGGAAGUUAAGCUCUUCAGCGCCGAUGGUAGUCGGGGGUUUCCCCCUGUGAGAGUAGGACGCCGCCAAGC